rnacentral:rRNA from 1 species
UCUGGUUGAUCCUGCCGGAGGACAUUGCUAUUGGGAUUCGAUUUANCCAUGCUAGUCGUACGAGUUUANACUCNUGGCGAAUAGCUCANUAACACGUGGCCAAGCUACCCUUCANACCAUGAUAACCUCGGGAAACUGAGGCUAAUAAUGGAUACGGUAUGCAUGCUGGAAUGCGGCAUACUCCAAACGUUGANACGCUGAAGGAUGCGGCUGCGGCCGAUUAGGUANACGGUGGGGUAACGGCCCACCGUGCCAAUAAUUGGUACGGGUGAUGAGAGUCANAGCCCGGAGACGGAAUCUGAGACAAGAUUCCGGGCCCUACGGGGCGCAGCAGGCGCGAAACCUUUACACUGCACGGAAGUGCGAUAGGGGAAUCCCAAGUGCGAAGGCAUACUANCCUUCGCUUUUGUUGACUGUAAGGAGGUCANCGAAUAAAAGCUGGGCAAGACCGGUGCCAGCCGCCGCGGNAAUACCGGCAGCUCGAGUGAUGUCCAAUAUUAUUGGGCCUAAAGCGUCCGUAGCUGGCCANCCAAGUCCGUCGGNAAAUCCACCUGCCCAACAGGUGGGCGUCCGGCGNAAACUGUCUGGNUUGGAACCGGAAGGCUCANAGGGUACUUCCGGGGUAGGAGUGAAAUCCCGUAAUCCCGGACGGACCACCGAUGGCGAAAGCACCUNUGAGGANACGGAUUCNACAGUGAGGNACGAAAGCUAGGGUCUCGAACCGGAUUAAAUACCCGGNUANUCCUAGCUGUAAACGAUGCUCGUUAAAUGUGGCACCCACUANNANNGGUGCUGUGNNUAANGGAAAGCCCCUUAAACNNACCCCCN